UACGUAGGGGGCAAGCGUUGUCCGGAUUUAUUGGGCGUAAAGAGCGUGUAGGCGGUUGGGUAGGUCCGUUGUGAAAACUCGAGGCUCAACCUCGAGACGCCGAUGGAAACCCCCCAGCUAGAGUCCGGAAGAGGAGAGUGGAAUUCCUGGUGUAGCGGUGAAAUGCGCAGAUAUCUGGAGGAACACCGGUGGCGAAGGCGGCAUCCUGGACCGGUAUUGACGCUGAGGCGCGAAAGCCAGGGGAGCAAACGGG
rnacentral:rRNA from 1 species